CAGCAGUAGGGAAUCUUCCACAAUGGACGAAAGUCUGAUGGAGCAACGCCGCGUGAGUGAAGAAGGGUUUCGGCUCGUAAAGCUCUGUUGGUAGUGAAGAAAGAUAGAGGUAGUAACUGGCCUUUAUUUGACGGUAAUUACUUAGAAAGUCACGGCUAACUACGUGCCAGCAGCCGCGGUAA
rnacentral:rRNA from 1 species